rnacentral:rRNA from 1 species
UACGUAGGUGGCAAGCGUUGUCCGGAUUUAUUGGGUUUAAAGGGUGCGUAGGCGGUUCUGUAAGUCAGUGGUGAAAUACUCUAGCUUAACUAGAGGGGUGCCAAUGAUACUGCAGAACUUGAGUACAGAUGAGGUAGGCGGAAUUGACGGUGUAGCGGUGAAAUGCAUAGAUAUCGUCAAGAACACCGAUAGCGAAGGCAGCUUACUGGGCUGUAACUGACGCUGAUGCACGAAAGCGUGGGGAGCAAACAGG